AUUGAACGCUAGCGGGAUGCUUUACACAUGCAAGUCGAACGAGUGGCGGACGGGUGAGUAAUGUAUCGGAACGUGCCCAGUAGCGGGGGAUAACUAAUCGAAAGAGUGGCUAAUACCGCAUACUAAUGGAGCUGCCGAUAUCGGAUUAACUAGUUGGUGGGGUAAAGGCUCCCCAAGGCAACGAUCCGUCGCUGGUUUGAGAGGACGACCAGACACAAUGGGAUGGAGACACGGCCCAGACUCCUACGGGAGGCAGCAGUGGGGAAUUUUGGACAAUGGGGGAAACCCUGAUCCAGCCAUCCCGCGUGUAUGAGAAGGCCUUCGGGUUGUAAAGUACUUUUGGCAGAGAAGCGGUAUCUGCAGAAUAAGCACCGGCUAACUACGUGCCAGCAGCCGCGGUAAUAC
rnacentral:rRNA from 1 species